AUGCCGGAUGUUCCACAUGAUCGCAUGUGAUUGUGGGAAAGAUUCUAUCGGCGUGGGAUGGGGUCGCGUCCUAUCAGCUUGUUGGUGAGGUAACGGCUCACCAAGGCUUCGACGGGUAGCCGGCCUGAGAGGGCGACCGGCCACAUUGGGACUGAGAUACGGCCCAGACUCCUACGGGAGGCAGCAGUGGGGAAUAUUGCACAAUGGGCGCAAGCCUGAUGCAGCGACGCCGCGUGAGGGAUGGAGGCCUUCGGGUUGUAAACCUCUUUUGUUUGGGAGCAAGCCUUCGGGUGAGUGUACCUUUCGAAUAAGCGCCGGCUAACUACGUGCCAGCAGCCGCGGUAAUACGUAGGGCGCAAGCGUUAUCCGGAUUUAUUGGGCGUAAAGGGCUCGUAGGCGGCUCGUCGCGUCCGGUGUGAAAGUCCAUCGCUUAACGGUGGAUCUGCGCCGGGUACGGGCGGGCUGGAGUGCGGUAGGGGAGACUGGAAUUCCCGGUGUAACGGUGGAAUGUGUAGAUAUCGGGA
rnacentral:rRNA from 1 species